GCCCAGAUGGUGAAAUGGUAGACACGCCGGGCUUAAGAUCCGGUGGCUUUUAAAGGCUGUGCGAGUUCGAGUCUCGCUCUGGGCA
rfam:Lasius niger Lnig_2.1_3169, whole genome shotgun sequence.